GCAUACCAGUUAAUGAGCAAAAGGAAGUCAAUGAGUAAGUUGCUCAGUAAUUGGUUGAGGCAGCCAAUAAAGGAGUCAGAGUGUGAGGGAAUAUAUAAUUCAGUCAAAAUGAAUGACUAAUUAUUUACAAAGAGUGAGGAGUGAGUGGGUCAGUAAAUGAGUCAGUGAUUUAGUGAGUGAGUAAGUCAGUAGGUUACGGAGUGAGUGAGUCUGUGAUUCAGGGAGUAAAGAUUCAGUAGGUUACUGUGUGAGUGAGUCUGUGUUUCAUGGAGUAGGGAUUCAGUAGGUUACUGUGUGAGUGAGUCUGUGAUUCAGGGGGUAGGGAUUCAGUAGGUUACUGUGUGAGUGAGUCUGUGAUUCAGGGAGUAAGGAUUCAGUAGGUCACUGUGUGAGUGAGUCUGUGAUUUAGGGAGUAGUGAUUCAGUAGGUCACUGUGUGAGUGAGUCUGUGAUUCAGGGAGUAGGGAUUCAGUAGGUUACUGUGUGAGUAAGUCUGUGAUUCAGGGAGUAGGGAUUCAGUAGGUCACUGUGUGAGUGAGUCAGUGAUUUUGGGAGUAGUGAUUCAGUAGGUUACUGUGUGAGUAAGUCUGUGAUUCAGGGAGUAGGGAUUCAGUAGGUUACUGUGUGAGUGAGUCUGUGAUUCAGGGAGUAGGGAUUCAGUAGGUCACUGUGUGAGUGAGUCAGUGAUUCAGGGAGUAGGGAUUCAGUAGGUAACUGUGUGAGUGAGUCUGUGAUUCAGGGAGUAGGGAUUCAGUAGGUAACUGUGUGAGUGAGUCUGUGAUUCAGGGAGUAGGGAUUCAGUAGGUAACUGUGUGGGUGAGUCAGUGAUUCAGGAAAUAGGGAUUCUGUAGGUUACUGAGUGAGUGAGUCUGUGAUUCAGUAGAUGAGUG